CUUAGGUGGUUUUUGGAGCAAUAGUGAUUCUCUCUGUGUCUUAUCUAUUGAUAUUAUAGUUUUGUCUAUUGUUUUGGGGUUGUAGCCUUUUUGUAUGAACUUUUGUUUCAUGUUAGUUGCUUGAGUGUGAAAUACUGAUGCUUCUGAGCAGUUUCUUUUCAGUCUGAGGAAUUGGCUUUUGGGUAUUCCAUUGAGCCAUAU